CUCCGUCCCCGCCAUGGCCGCCGCCCGCCGCCGGUGCAGCUAAGUGGCUGCCGGACGACGGGUUUCCGCGGCUCCUCUCCGGCGGCUGGGUGCCGUGUCCUGGCCGCAUGGGCAUCCUCCGAGGCGGGCCCCCGUGCGCUCGGGCCAUGGCGCGCCUGGGCGCGGUGCGUUCCCAUUACUGCGCGCUGUUGCUGGCCGCGGCGCUCGCCGUCUGUGCCUUCUACUACCUGGGCUCGGGCCGGGAGACCUUCUCCAGCGCCACCAAGAGGCUGAAGGAGGCCCGCGCCGGAGCCCCCGCGCCGCCCUCCCCGCCGGUGCCGGAACAGGCGCGCGGGUCCGUGGCGCCCGCCCUGGGUGCCAAGGCCAAGAGCCUGGAUGGCGGCGCGGCCGGUCCGGUGGACUACCACCUGCUGAUGAUGUUCACCAAGGCGGAGCACAACGCCGCGCUGCAGGCCAAGGCCCGCGUCGCGCUGCGCUCCCUGCUGCGCCUUGCCAAGUUCGAGGCUCAUGAGGUGCUUAACCUGCACUUCGUGAGCGAGGAGGCCAGCCGCGAGGUGGCCAAGGCCCUGCUGCGGGAGCUGCUGCCGCCCGCCGCCGGCUUCAAGUGCAAGGUCGUCUUCCACGAUGUCGCCGUGCUGACCGACAAGCUCUUCCCCAUCGUGGAGGCCAUGCAGAAGCACUUCAGCGCUGGCUCCGGGACCUACUACAGCGACUCCAUCUUCUUCCUCUCAGUUGCCAUGCAUCAGAUCAUGCCCAAAGAGAUCCUGCAGAUAAUACAGCUGGACCUAGACCUAAAGUACAAGACCAACAUCCGGGAAUUGUUCGAGGAGUUUGACAAUUUCCUGCCAGGCGCCAUCAUUGGCAUCGCGAGAGAGAUGCAGCCGGUGUACAGAGCACUCAGCAUAGAAACCCCAGCUUGGAGCCCCGUAUCCUCAUUCAUCCCUGUAUCCAUCCGUGGUCCUCAGGAUCUGGUCCCGAGCCUGCUGAGGCUCCCCAUCCUGCACUUCCCUCCAUCCUCAGACCACCCGCUCCCUGGGCUCUACAGCAGCCUCCCGCCUGUCCUGCUGCUCCCAGCCCUGCUUCCUCCCAGCCGUCCUGCCCCAGCCAGUGGCCUUCCUCACACAGGAGCCACCUUCCUCUAACCCCGUUGUUACUCUCGGCAUCAAGUGCUGGGCUCUCUCCUCACCACCUCCACUCUUCACCUGCCUGACUCUUCACGUCUGGGCUUAGAUACCACUUUCUCCAGGAAACCUUCCUUGAAGCCCCAAGACCGGGUCUGUCACCUCUGCUGAGGCCCUGGCACGCUUAGAGUCCAAGAAGGCACCUCAGUCCCGGUGACCGCGGCUUGGAGGAGCAGCUGAGACGCCGGGCCACCUCCGAGGAGCUGCUCAUUCUCCGAACCAGACGGUCCCCAUAAAACCCUGGUAGGGCUGCUCCUUGGUCCAGCCCAGCACGACUGUGAUUGGAGCCGGCCUGUCAGCAAGAUCGUUUGCUCUGUGGAUUUUAUUCCUUUAUUUCUUUUCUUCUUAAAAAGAAAAGAAAAAGAGCAAAGACAGCGCCAUGGAUUGCCCAGCUGUAAGGCUUCAGGUGUGCAGAGCAGCCAGCUGUGUGGGGACGCCAGGUGUGCUGGGACGAGCUGGAUGUGUGGGUGGGCUGGAGGGCAGGCACAUCUCCCUCAGGUGUGCUCUAUUUAUAUAAAUGACCUCGGAGGCAGCUGCCCGUGUAUUGGCACAGGGGUGAGGAGAGGCUUAAAAAGUCACAAAGGGUCUCUCCGCUUCCUGGGGUGUCAUGGAGUUGCAGAGGCCUGUUGUGGGAGUGGCACAGUAAGCAGAGGUGGAUGAGAUGCCUGCCCUGGGUCGGAGGAGGAGGCCAGCCCACCCAGCUGCCCUGUUUUGCAUUCCAGCUUAGUGCUCACAGUGGCUGUGUCAUCACCACAGCCAAAGGGUGAGACUCCCAGAGGCCUGGGUGCAUGAACCAGCCCAUCGGAUGGUCAAAAUGAGCCCAAGGAUCGCAGUGGUCUGGCCACAUACACUCUGGACUCUGCCAGGUUGUCACCGUUCACAGAUUGUGGCUCAAAAAAUGGUGGGGCUUUGUGGAUACCCAGAAAUGGGUUUUUGAAACAAAAGUAACUGGGGGAAAAAAUCAGUACUGUGCUCACACACGGGUGCUAAUUUAAAGUGAGAUUAAUUAUUGGAGUUCAGUGACCACUCUGGGCAUAAAACCAUAGGCUUUCAGAACAGAAAAGGAUUCUAGGGCUGGUCAAUCCAUUUAACAGAUGGAGGAACUGAGGCCCUGGGAAGGGAAGUGACAUGUCCAAGUUCACCCUGAUGGCAUGUGCAGAGCCAGGUGAACUGGGCUCGGGGCCCCCUGCCUCCAUAGCAAGGUGGGAAGCGUGUGUGUUUGCUUUUCACACUGCUUUUCACGGAACGGGACGUGUCCACAGCUUCCAUCAUCUCCUCUGAUUGCGUUGAACAUUUUACCUGCAUUAUCUCAUGAUAACCUCCCAACAGCCCUGUUUCCAUAUGGGAAGCCUGAACGCAGAGAGCUUUGGGACCUUUUCCCGGGUACUAAGCCGAGGACCAGGAUUUGAACCUGGACAGUGUGCUGCCAGAACCCGCAUUCUUACCCCCAUCACACACAGAAUGUUCUUCAUGGCAAUGGAAAACGAAUAUACACCUGCCUCCCCUGCACCCGAGACUGACCGCUGCUCCCUGGGGAUGGGAGGUGGCAGAGCUGGGCUCUCCCUCCUGGCACAUUAAACGUUAAACAUGCUGCUUCAAGGAAGCGUUUCCCAGUGGUCCCUCCUUCCCCCACCCAAGACUGUGACAAAGUGAGAAGGUGCAGUUAGCAGCAUAAUGUUCAUAUAAAAUUUGCAAGUGGCUAUGCUACCUAUUUUAUAGCCAUUUUCAGGACAAAAUGAUAUCAUUGCUACCCUUAUGGUUUUUUACCUCUUUAUAAGAAUAACCAGAGUCCUGGUGCACGAAUUUGUGGACAGGUUGGGGGGGGUCCCUCUGGGUGGCCUGUGGGGAUUGGGCUGAAACUAGCUCUCUGACAUCCCCUGAGGGGUCCCAGAUUGCGA